rnacentral:misc_RNA from 1 species
UCCGAGUUGACCCCGGCAGUCUCCUACGAGUCCCCGGCAUAACCCGCUGGCAACUAAGGACAGGGGUUGCGCUCGUUGCGCCACUUAAGGCAACACCUCGCGGCACGAGCUGACGACAGCCAUGCACCACCUGUGCAGGCUCCGAAGAGCACCCGCUUUCGCGGGUUUCACCCUGCAUGUCAAGCCCAGGUAAGGUUCUUCGCGUUGCAUCGAAUUAAGCCGCAUGCUCCGCCGCUUGUGCGGGCCCCCGUCAAUUCCUUUGAGUUUCAACCUUGCGGCCGUACUCCCCAGGCGGUCAACUUCACGCGUUAGCUUCGUUACUGAGAAAACUAAUUCCCAACAACCAGUUGACAUCGUUUAGGGCGUGGACUAC